CCGGUGCCGGAAGGUUAAUUGAUGGGGUUAUCCGUAAGGAGAAGCUCUUGAUCGAAGCCACGGUAAACGGCGGCCGUAACUAUAACGGUCCUAAGGUAGCGAAAUUCCUUGUCGGGUAAGUUCAGACCUGCACGAAUGGCGUAAUGAUGGCCAGGUUGUCUCCACCCGAGACUCAGUGAAAUUGAACUCGCUGUGAAGAUGCAGUGUACCCGCGGCAAGCCGGAAAGAGUAGGAUAGGUGGGAGGCUUUGAAGCGUGGACGCCAGUCUGCGUGGAGCCAACCUUGAAAUACCACCCUUUAAUGUUUGAUGUUCUAACGUUGGCCCCUUACCGGGGUUGCGGACAGUGUCUGGUGGGUAGUUUGACUGGGGCGGUCUCCUCCCAAAGCGUAACGGAGGAGCACGAAGGUUAGCUAAUCCUGGUCGGACAUCAGGAGGUUAGUGCAAUGGCAUAAGCUAGCUUGACUGCGAGCGUGACGGCGCGAGCAGGUGCGAAAGCAGGUCAUAGUGAUCCGGUGGUUCUGAAUGGAAGGGCCAUCGCUCAACGGAUAAAAGGUACUCCGGGGAUAACAGGCUGAUACCGCCCAAGAGUUCAUAUCGACGGCGGUGUUUGGCACCUCGAUGUCGGCUCAUCACAUCCUGGGGCUGAAGUAGGUCCCAAGGGUAUGGCUGUUCGCCAUUUAAAGUGGUACGCGAGCUGGGUUUAGAACGUCGUGAGACAGUUCGGUCCCUAUCUGCCGUGGGCGCUGGAGAAUUGAGGGGGGCUGCUCCUAGUACGAGAGGACCGGAGUGGACGCAUCACUGGUGUUCGGGUUGUCAUGCCAAUGGCACUGCCCGGUAGCUAAAUGCGGAAGAGAUAAGUGCUGAAAGCAUCUAAGCACGAAACUUGCCCCGAGAUGAGUUCUCCCUGAGACUUUAAGUCUCCUGAAGGAAUAAGCGCAGCGAUGCGUUGAGCUAACCGGUACUAAUGAACCGUGAGGCUUAACCUUACAACGCCGAAG
rnacentral:rRNA from 1 species